rnacentral:rRNA from 1 species
GGGGAAUAUUGGACAAUGGGGGCAACCCUGAUCCAGCAAUGCCGCGUGAGUGAUGAAGGCCUUCGGGUUGUAAAGCUCUUUUGCCAGGGACGAUGAUGACGGUACCUGGAGAAUAAGCCCCGGCUAACUUCGUGCCAGCAGCCGCGGUAAUACGGAGGGGGCUAGCGUUGUUCGGAAUUACUGGGCGUAAAGCGCACGUAGGCGGCUUUGUAAGUUAGAGGUGAAAGCCCGGAGCUCAACUCCGGAACUGCCUUUAAGACUGCAUCGCUUGAACGUUGGAGAGGUGAGUGGAAUUCCGAGUGUAGAGGUGAAAUUCGUAGAUAUUCGGAAGAACACCAGUGGCGAAGGCGACUCACUGGACAACUGUUGACGCUGAGGUGCGAAAGCGUGGGGAGCAAA